rnacentral:rRNA from 1 species
UACAGAGGUCUCAAGCGUUGUUCGGAUUCAUUGGGCGUAAAGGGUGCGUAGGUGGUGGGGUAAGUCGGGUGUGAAAUCUCGGGGCUUAACUCCGAAACUGCAUUCGAUACUGCCGUGCUUGAGGACUGGAGAGGAGACUGGAAUUUACGGUGUAGCGGUGAAAUGCGUAGAUAUCGUAAGGAAGACCAGUGGCGAAGGCGGGUCUCUGGACAGUUCCUGACACUGAGACACGAAGGCCAGGGGAGCAAACGGG